GGACUAAACAAAUGUAUAUCCAUGCAGCGACUUCACCCAUGAGCUUGCUGAGCAUCUUCUGUUGUGACACGUGACCCAAGGAAGGGAUGCAGUAGAAGAUCAUGGUACCUAGUGAUCACUUGGUGAACACUCUGCACUAAAGUUCGUCUAGCCCCACAUCUGUGAGAGCAGGAAGUUGGGGUGAUCAAAGUGCCUUCCUGGAGGUCAUGUGGAACAUCUGUGUCUGAAGUUCUUCUGAUUCGCAUUACCUCAUGGGAUAGACUUUGCUGCAAUUUUAUCAAUCAUCAAAUUUGCUCAUAGCAAUAGACUGGUCCUGUGGUAAUUGAGAAAAAAGACAAAAAUUUUUCCACUGAAUGUUUCUGGAAGUUUUAAAGAUGAUCCUGUGAUUCUAGUCCAUGUGGAUAGUAUCACAUACACAGUUCUCUAAGCAUUUUCAGUGUGGUUGAUCGUUUUGCAUCCAUAAUUCUCUGACCAUUUUCAGUGUGGCUAUUUUGAGCUUUGUAAAAGAAGCAGAGCAGGUGAUUUUUGUCUCCAUUUCAUAGAUGAGGCAUUCUGGGGCUUAGAGAAGGUUAAAUGAUUUGCCUAACAUUUCAUGACAGACCAGGCAUUAAGACACCAGACCUUGUAACUCCCUCGUGUUACAUCAUACAGCUGUUCACCACUGUAAAUGAUUAUAUAAUCUAGCCUCUUCAUUUCACAGAGGACAAUGAGAUCCAGAGAGUCCAAGUGACUUUCCAAGGGCACAAAGGAGCAGUGUGAAGGAGUGAAAACAGACCAAGAUCAUCAGAUGGUGUGAAUUGCUGAUGCCAGUAUAUAAUGAGAAAUGUGCCGAGUGCCUGGGGUAAGCUAGAUGAUGGAACAGGGAGUUGGUGUUGGCGUAGAGCCACUGAAAGUGUCCAGGAAUCUCCAUUCCUAUGAGAAGCAUGCGGUGAGGCGAAGAAGCUUGUAUGUCCAUAGCAAUGGGCUAGCCUCGACUUUAGUCUAAGAUAUGGAGACCCAGGCCCUGAAAGGAACUGCCUAGGACCUGAGGGAAAUACUUUAGCAGUUCUAACAUUUUAGUAAUAAUAUCCUGAUCUGAGUACACAUUUUUCUGAACUGUGUGUCAGGUUCUUCUGUUUGGAGAGAUUUGCACGUGUGUGUGUUUUCCUGUGUGCAUGUGUGGGCACAUGCAUGUGGGGCUGGAAGCCAAGCACAGGUGUCGUUCCUUAGGCACUGUCCUUCUUGUUGUUUGAGACAGCGCUCAUUGGCGUGGAACUGUCAGAGUAACUCGGGCCAUCUGGCCAUUUGAGUUAUAAGUAUGUGCCACUGUGUUCUGCUUUGAUUCUGAAGAGCAAACUCAGGUCCUCAUGUUUUCAUGUCAGGCAGUUUAUUGCCCACGCCAUGUCAUUAAUCCUCGUGUUUUAGGUUCUCUGAGGAUCAUUUCUUAGUGUGUAUGUUAUAUAUUGUGAGGGUUGUAUUGUCAUCACUAAAUGAUUUGACUCCCGGUCUCUGUUGUGUUGUGAGAAGGCACCAGCUCAAGUCCUUGAAUGCAGAUUUGACUCCCAUGGAAUGUGUUACUUCCAAGUUAAUGUUUUAAGGACUUUGUGUGAUUUGCCUUGCUCCAUAUUCUUCUAUCACAGCAGCUGAGGAUGCUUUCUCUGUUACUUUGGGUUCUGGCAUUUAGAUGAUACAGGACAACACAACUCAGCCAGCUUGCCAUUGGAUUAGAUUCUAUGUAAAUGCAAGUGAGAAACAAACCCAUUCUUUCAACCACUGGGAUGGCCACAUGUACAGGAUAGCUGCAUGGCCUCAUCAGUGUGCAGGAUAGCAGUGUGGCCUCAUCAGUUCAGACUGACACUACCUACCUGGCAUUGGUUUUAAGUUUCAGAUGUAAUUUCCCCUUGUUUUCACACUUGAGACUGUUAGGUUACAACCUUAUGCACAAGAAUUGUGUGGUCUUCUUGCCCUGUGGUUUUUGCACAGUGCCUGCUUGGAGCCUUGGAUACUGGAGAGUUCUGAAUGGCACAAACUGAGUGAUAAGCAAUACUUAGUAAAGAGUGUCUACAAUGUUCAAAAUGUCAUUCAUUAUCAGGGACCCAGAAAUAAAUAAGCAGGUAACCUGCCUCAGGAAUUUACAGUUUAGCAGAGAUAGCUAUGUUCAUUUAUUCAAUAUAUAAAUGAAGGGUAUACAGUCAAUUCGUUUAUACAGACAUACUUAUUUAGGUCCAUGAUUUCUAAGUUGGUCAAGUGCUGGGGAAUCAAGUGUAGCAAAAAGAGGUGAGUUCAUUUCCUUAUGGAGUUCAUCAGCUAAAAAUGGAGAUUAAGUUAAUUAUGCAAAUGUAAAUUGUAACUAGGAUAAAGUCUACAAGGAAACAAAGAGGGGGCACUUAUUUGCUCUAUGGGCACUUACAGGAGCGUUCUGGAAAUAAAUUGGACUCAGCACCUCUUCAGACUGGUUUAAAUUCUGAUUCUGCCACUUUGAAGUAUAAGACCUUAGCCAGGGCACCCAACCUUCCAGAAAAGAGUUUCCCGUUUCGCAGGUUAGUUGUGAAGCAUACAUAAGCUUUUGUCUGUGACAAUGCCUGGAAUGUCAUGUAUGCUCAGAAAGCUUAGUUACUUUCCCCCUUCCUCUGUGACAUUGCUUCUCCAUGACCAGCUCAUCAGAGAAUGGCAAGGGAAUGGGUCUGACGGCUGGGUUAGAAAAGGCUUUAUGUAGAAGCAGCAUCUGAACUUAGACUAGAAGGAUAGAAAAGGAUUUCAUGAAGAGAAUUGUAAUGACCUGAUAAGAGAAUAAUUUUAAGUAACUAGACAUAUUUCUUAGCUAGGGUCGUGCCUUUAGAAUGGGACAGAUUCCAGUUCCAAUCAAUAAGCCAUCGUUACUUAUCCUGUGACCUUGACCAAGGUGCUCCCUUUCUCUACAUGAGAGUUUCCUUAUCCAAAAAGUAUGAGGAUAAUAUUAGAAUGAAUUCUGUAAUAUUAUGGUAAAUAUUUAAUAAUAAACACAUAUAAUGCUUAGCACAGGCCCUCAUAAUGAGGGGUACCUCAAUAUUGCUAGCAUUAUCUUACAAACAAGGAAGGCACAAUCUCUGGGUUCUUUUUUGUAGCUUUAGAUACAAACUCCAAAUGCUAGUUUAACUGCAAGGCACUGAUGUCACUGAGUUCAGCAUGAGAUUUACUGUCCCCUUAGAGUAUUAAUACCCACCAAUUAAUAGUGACAGUCACUAAACAUUUAGUACCUAAUGAGCUGCAUCUCCUCAGUAUGGGUGUAGCAUGGAAAAGGAACUGUAUGAUUUAACUUGCCAGACUUCCUUCUUGCUGGCUGGCUGUGACCUCCCCACUGGGCUGCCUGAGGGGUUGACUUCAUUUGAAAAAUACAUUUAGAAAUGUCAGUGUCUAGGAAGCUCUGAGCUCUAAAUCCUCCUUGGAACCACGAAAGCAAAGACUAUCAGAGCUGUUCUCUUCCGAAGUGAUGGGGGAUACAGCAAUGAAGAAGUUAGGAAAGGUCCUUGCUCUUUGGGGCAGAAGGAGGGAGGGGAGAGAGAGAGAGAGAGAGAGAGAGAGAGAGAGAGAGAGAGAGAGAGAGAGAGAGAGAGAGAGACAGAGAGAGAGAGACAGAGAGA